GGGUUCCAGGAAAUAGCCCCACCGCAUAGACCGUACCCGAAACCGACACAGGUGGUCAGGUAGAGUAUACCAAGGCGUUUGAGAGAAGUAUCCUGAAGGAACUCGGCAAAUUGCCUCCGUACCUUCGGAAGAAGGAGGCCCUCACUAUGCGCAAGCAUUUUGAGGGGGCACAGGCCAGGGGGUAGCGACUGUUUAGCAAAAACACAGGACUCUGCUAAGUCGGCUUCAAGACGACGUAUAGGGUCUGACGCCUGCCCGGUGCCGGAAGGUUAAGAGGAGGAGUGCAAGCUCCGAAUUGAAGCCCCGGUAAACGGCGGCCGUAACAAUAACGGUCCUAAGGUAGCGAAAUUCCUUGUCGGGUAAGUUCCGACCUGCACGAAUGGCGUAACGACUUCCCCACUGUCUCCAGGAUAUGCUCAGCGAAAUUGAAUUCUCCGUGAAGAUGCGGAGUACCCGCGGUUAGACGGAAAGACCCCGUGCACCUUUACUGCAGCUUCAGAGUGGCAUUAGGAAAUAACUGUGUAGCAUAGGUGGGAGGCUUUGAAGCAUCGGCGCCAGCUGAUGUGGAGCCAUAGGUGAAAUACCACCCUGUUGUUUUCUGAUGUCUAACCUCGUACCGUUAUCCGGUACAGGGACCCUCUGUGGCGGGUAGUUUGACUGGGGCGGUCGCCUCCUAAAGAGUAACGGAGGCGCGCGAUGGUAGGCUCAGGCCGGUUGGAAACCGGCUGUUAGAGUGCAAUGGCAUAAGCCUGCCUGACUGCGAGACUGACGAGUCGAGCAGAGACGAAAGUCGGUCAUAGUGAUCCGGUGGUCCCUCGUGGAAGGGCCAUCGCUCAACGGAUAAAAGGUACGCCGGGGAUAACAGGCUGAUGAUUCCCAAGAGCUCAUAUCGACGGAAUCGUUUGGCACCUCGAUGUCGGCUCAUCACAUCCUGGGGCUGAGCAGGUCCCAAGGGUUUGGCCGUUCGCCAAUUAAAGUGGUACGUGAGCUGGGUUCAGAACGUCGCGAGACAGUUUGGUCCCUAUCUGCCGUGGGCGUCGAUACUUGAGAGGAGUUGCCCCUAGUGCGAGAGGACCGGGGUGAACAUGCCUCUGGUGUACCUGUCGUGGCGCCAGCCGCGCAGCAGGGUAGCUAUGCAUGGACGGGAUAACCGCUGAAAGCAUCUAAGCGGGAAGCCUCCCUCGAGAUAAGGUAUCAUAGAGUCGUGGUAGACCACCACGUUGAUAGGCCGGGUGUAGAAGUGCGGUAACGUAUGGAGCUAACCGGUCCUAAUAACUCC
rnacentral:rRNA from 1 species